GUAUGGAAACAUCUUUGCAAAAGGGAAGCCUUCUCGAAACUCUUUGCAUUUUAGUGCAUGAGUGUAAAUGUCCUGGCUUAGACGAAUCCCAUCCCCAGCUUGGAUGAGACUACAAAUGAGAGCACAGGUCUGCAGCUGGCAGAACUCUUGCAGACAGGGGCACGUCAGACAAUCUCCAGCCCAGCCAGAUGGCAGGACUGCAGGAGGAGGCUCUCAGAGCAGUUAGAGUAACCAGAAUAGUUCUCUCCCUCUCCAAGUCUUCCCCUAAGCACCUUCUCCUUUCAUUUAGCCUGUGUAAUAAAUAUAAUUGGAAACGUCCAGUGCUCCCCCAUGCAGGGAAGCAUCAAUUACUCCUCCAGCUCUGGAGUUCUAAUUUGUAACAUAGAUUAAAUUCAGCUCCGGACUGGGGAGAGAUUGCACCUUUAAGAUUUGCCACGUUGUUUAGGGAAAUCACUCACAAUGCACAUUAGGAUGGAUUUAAACGUGUCAGUAUUAAUACCGGCCAUUUCCCUGUUGUCACAUGUUGUUAGAAGAACAAUUAUUUCACGUCUGAGUAGAAAUCUUACUCGGAGGCUAAAGUUAAUGUAGCAUAUGGAGCGGCGAGGAAGCAGGCUUGGGCGUCUUGUGCACGCGGGCCGUCGCCCAUUACGGUGCUGGUUAGCAUACUCCUUCCUCCCCAUCUGUUUUCCUACAGAGGAGACGAUUAUUGUUUUGCUUAGAACAGGCUUUGGCCCCUCUGCACUCGGAAUGAUGGAACGUGGACUCGCAGUUUAGAGGGCGAAAGAGGAUUGAUCUGUGAGCCCUCUCCAAUCCCCGGCUCGGCCUCCUGCUCUCCCAAGGAUAAAUCUCGUUUUCAGAUAAAUCCAGAUUGCUUUUCCAAUAGAUUGGCUUUUAGCCUCCCCCGCUGAACCGUACUUUGACAUAACCCGACAGCCUCCCUGUGGCUGUGAAGAAAUCAUUCCUAACAUUGGAGGUUAAUUUGCUAAAUGAAGCGUUGGGUUUUCUUUCAUGGAAACAAGAAAAAUUGUUUGGAUGAGGUUAGAAAAGGCAAAGCGGCUCGGAGAACAUUCCCUGGGGCUUCAUCCCAGCACGAACCUCGAUUGGACAUUUAUUCCAGGGUUAAAUGAAUAAAUAGUGGAAAGCAGCCCUGUCAUUUCUGCAUUGGCCUUUACACAUGGAGCGAUGGUGAGGGACGGACACAGGCUGGAAUUGGCCCCCAUUGGGCAGAUGGGUAAACCGAGGCCCACAGAGCUGAACCUGGUCUGCCCCCGUCAUGCCUCAAGGUUGCCCUUCAGGGAGGGACCCUGGUCUCUCUUCCUGUGCUGUGUCCCUUUACCCUUUAGUAGAUCAGAAUCCAAGUGCUUGCAAGGGAAAGGGAACAGAAAGAGAGUUGGGAUGGGAUCAUUUUCACAUUUUUCUCUGCACAGAGGAUCCCAGCUGUGGAGACUGGGGGAUGUCAUCAAUCUCUGGUCUCAGGAUCCCUGUCAAUAUCAUGUUCUGUAGCCAGGGAACCUCAGGUUGUUUUGUGAGGCUCACCCAGUGGCCAGGACAGACAGAAUUGAUUGGACUUGUUAUUUCAUGGUAGGAUCUGAUGAGAGGUCAGGUCCCUGAGAUCUGGGAGGGAGAGGUCAAGGGUGUGGGGCAUGUGCAAGGGUCCUGGGACUGAGAGGCUGCUGUGGGCAUCCUGGCCAAGCUGCAGCCUCCAGAGGAGGGUAUCUGUGGGCAAGGAAAGGGCACACAAGAGUCUUGUCAGGAAAUUCCUGGGAAGGAGGCCUUCAGGGAGAAAAAUGUGAUCUGAAAGAGGCCACAAGGAGGGGAUCAGAGACUGACUUCAAGAACACAGGAGAUCAGAGAAGCACUCAGGGUUGUGGGCUUCUGAAAACCAUCAAGUUCAAGUUCAAGCAAUUAGAGGGUACAGAGCUGUUGGACUUGUCUCUGAUGGCAAUAUCUCGGGAGCUUUUACUUGUUUCCUCUGAUCUUUAGUGGAAAAAUAUGUGUUUUGGGUCACAUUGUGUGACCCUAACAUUCCUGUGUUGAAGAAGUCCUGAGCUCUCAUAGCUCAGAAUGCAAGCUUCUUUGGAGACGGGGUUUUUACACAGUUAUCAAGUAAAAUGAGGUGCUGCAGUGAGCCCUGGUCCAACAUGACGGGUGUCCACGUGCAGAGGGAAAGUCUGGACCCAGGUAGAAAUGGAGGACGAGGUGAGGGGCACAGGGAGAAGAGACCCUCGACAAGCCACGGAGGAGGCCCGACGAAGGCAGCCUCGCCGCACACUGGACCCUGGACUUAUGGCCUCCAGACCCCAGAAAAAGUGCAUGUCCCUCGGUGGGAGGUGUCCGGUGUGGCAGCCCUGGCAGGUGAACACAGUAGGUGAACAUAAAAACAGCCGCUGCAGCAGGAGAGGGCUGGACGUCGUGCUCCGUGGGAAAGCCAGACAGGACGGUCACGGCCGGGCAGACCUGUUUACAUGAAGCCUCAGAACGGUGAGUCCAUCGCGACAGGAAGCGGGUGGAGGGCUGCCAGGGCCUGGGAGAGGGGGACCGGGCUGUGCUUGCUGGAUGGACAGGGGUCCCUGAGGAGAGAUAAUAGUGCCCCAUGACCAGAUGGCGGUGAGGGUGGGGACAGUGAGGGGCUCAGUGCUAGUGCCCGGCCUGCUCGAAAGUGGUGGAUUUUGUUAUGGGACUUUUAUCUCAAUUAAAACAAAUGAAAAAGGCAGCCCCCUGUGUGUCACUGGGGAGAUGGGGACCCUGGUAGGGAAAGAGGAGACCCGCGGAUGCCCUGUCCCGUUCCGAAGCUCGCCUCGAGGGAGCCAUAGAGAUGAGCAUGGAAAGGGAGCAACUCGGGGCCACGGGACUCCCAGGGCUGCGGAGGAGGGAGGAGAGGCGCUGGCGCUGGUCUGCCCAAGUGGCCACGGGCCUUGCACAGGGCCCUUCAGAACACAGGGGACAGGAGGGUCCCCAGUGGCUUCCUGUGCUGUGACUGUGCUGAGCUCACAUGAAGAUCCUCCACCCCGUCUGGUGAGUCCCUGUGGACAUGUGUGCUGGGCUUCGGGGGCAUGUUGGAAUACCUCUCCUUCCUUGGGAAACUUGCAAGCUUUUGAGACUUGCCUCCCCAAACAGAAGACUCUCCCGCAAACGUCCUUGCCUCUAGGGCACAGUGUGACCGCCCGAGAACAAUCUAGAAGGUGGUGACGUCAGCAUGAGAUUCUUUGUCCUUUGCUCCCUGUGAGAGUGGGAAAGGGCAUCCAGCACUCAGGAGCUGUUGACGGAGCCCAGGGUUGGGGUCCUGCACCCCACUAUGGAGGGGUGAUCUAUGGCGUCCCACGUGGCUCUCUGGGAUAGAGAUGGCCUGUGGCCUGGCUGUGGAGCCUCCAGCCUUGAUUCUCCUGGCGAUUCUCAGGCGGCCUUUAUACCUGAGCAGACUGGGACUUUGCCAGGAGGGACCUUGGCUGAGAACCUGCCAGCCCCAUGCUGGACAGCCCGCCGGCCUUGGACACAAGGUCACAGGGGCUCCACGGGGACUGUUUGUGGGAGAGGUGGCGAGCUCCCCUGCAGCAGCCAGCACUUUCCUUUUCCCCUGAGUUUUCCUUCUCCCUGGAAAACUUUAGGCUCCUCACACCAGACCCCUCCUGCACAGCAUGGAGGGCGACGGGCUCCCUAGAGCAGAGGGGACCGCACCUCUCAGUGACAUGAGUGGUGGAACCCGAGAGCCCAGAUGGCAGUCAGGGCGAAUCUGCCCUCCUCACCGUGCUCAUGAAUUCAAAGUGCAUCUUGGAGUGGAUGUCAUCUGGGCUACUUCGUUUGCUCCACAGAAUGUCAUAUGAAUGAAGCAGAGACAUUCUACCGCCAAGGCUGAUGCUGUGGUUGGAUCAGAAGUGUCCCCCAAGAGUCCAUGUGUAAAGUCUUGGUCCCCAGCCUGGUGCUCUUGGGAGAUGGUGGGACCUUCAUGAGCUGGUCUGGUGGGAGGUCUUUAGGUCACUGUGGGGUGCGCUCAAAGGGGGUGGGGAGACCCAGUCUCUUCUCUCUCUCACUUCUGGUUUCUUCCUGGCCAGGAGGUACAUGGUCUUGCCAGAUGCUCCUGUCAUAAAGUGCUGCCUCCCUCAGGCCCAGGGGCAGCAAGGCCAACUGAUCGUGGACCCCAACCUCCACAACUGCGAGCCGAAGUGACCUUCCACACCUACCAGAUCACCACGGGGAGGUGUCCAGACUCAUACAGGCAGAGGCAGGAGCCACAGAGGUUUCGUCACCUUCCCCGUCCAGAGCUCUUCCCACAGAGACGAGUGUGCGUGUCCACGGGUAUGGGUGCAGCGUGCCUGGGGAGCCCGGGCACGUGGCCCUCCCUCACCUGCCAUUUCAUGUUCCUUGGCAACAGUUACCCAGGAUCUGAAAAUAUCACUGUAAAUGUUACCAAACCACAAUAAGAAAUGAAGACUUUCCUUUUUCUGCAGAGAGAGAUCAUGCACACAGUGCUCACCCUGGCGUAUUGUCGUACUCUUUCGAUUGUAUCAUUAUUAUUAUUAACCUCUUACUGUGCCUAAUUUAUCAAUGAAACCAUCAACGGAAUCAUAGGAUGUGUAGACACAGGAAAACCAGAGUGUGUCCCGGGCUUGGUGUGUCUGUGGUUCUAGGUGUCCAGUGGGGAUCUCAGCACGUGGCCCCCGUGGACAGGGGGCACCACUGCACUGUAUGCAUUUGAAACAGGCUGAAACCAGCUUGUCACGGACUCCUCAAGCUCCCCCACCCCUGAGGUGCCUUCUCCUCUUUAUAUAAAUCAUAGCCAAUUUAGGUUUUUUUUUUGGGGGGGGGUGGGGGGAGAGGGCAGUGAAUGGAUAAAUUUCCCUAUUUUUUUUUCUUUUGAAAAAUUCAUUUUUAAUUGACAAAUGGCGACGUGCAUAUUUAUGGGCUGUGAUGUGGUGUCCUGAUCGACGUGCUCAUGAAAGUGAAAUCAGCCAGGCACGGGAAGACAGAUGUGACAUGAUCUUGGCUUGUGUGUGGAAUCUAAAGAAGUCGGUCCCACCCAACGGAGCACAAAGGUGGUUACCAGAUGCGGGAGUGGGGAGCAGGCCGGGGAGGGGAGGACGCUGAUCAAAGGGCGUGAAGUUGAGGUGAGGAAUAUGUUGAUCGGCGGCGGGGACAUUCUGACUGGAGAUAUCUUUGUUCUCGUCUCUGUGUCCCCAGCAGUGACAGCUGUUUCCCCUCAACCCCACCUGCAUUCAAGAUGGCGUCUCUCUGGCACAUAAGGGACCAGAGGUCACAGAGGCUAGGCCGGCGUCUAAGCUUUGUAGGUUGGUGACAACAUGGAGGAGGCGGAGGCGGGCCCCACGUGGAGCUCUGUGGGCUGAUGGUUGAGGACUUUCUGUGGGGGAAUGAGCUGCCAUGUUGUUCCUCCACCAUGCUCACCCUGUCCCUGCUCCCUAGCGACAGUGUGCCUGCCCACCCAGGCAGGAUCGUGGUUUCCUUCCCUGAAACACCUGGCUUUGUGUGUCUGUCCCCAGCUGUCCUCGACAGAAACAGGCACCAGCAUUUGGGGAACUGUUGCCUCUGGGUUCAGACCACGGGUAGAAUCCAGGUGGCUGGGCCCGUGGCUGAAAUAAAAUGCAGGGGAAGAGAGGGGACCAGGCCCUGGUUCUGGGGAAUUCUGAGGCCCAUCUCCCUUUUAUUCCAGGCUGGUCCAUCCGACUGUCCCUUCCUUUCCUGAGCUGGGAUACGCGGGGUUCCCAGGUGCUGUGGCCUGGCUUGUGUCUCAUGAUGUGACUUCCAUGGGGCCCUGAAGGCAGAGCACCUUCUCAAGAGCUCCCAGGCCAAGUCCUCCUUGUAGCCACGCGGCUGAGACCUCCAGCUCUCUGCUUGCCCAGUCCUGGCCUUCCGGCUGGUCCCUGUGCCAUAUAUCAUAUGGUGACGUCCCCUCCAACCCCCUCCCUGGGACAUUAGUGAUAAUCCAUCGUGGGUGGGGAAGCAUGGGCUAACUUCUCACUAAAUAUUCCCUUUAGAAAAGCAGCAGAAAACUGUCCUGGGCAGAGUGAUUCAGCGACUGAUCCUGGGAGAGAAUCUCCCACGUUCAGUACGGUGGGGGGGCUGGGAGGU
rnacentral:lncRNA from 1 species